AACGAACGCUGGCGGCAUGCCUAACACAUGCAAGUCGAACGAGACCUUCGGGUCUAGUGGCGCACGGGUGCGUAACGCGUGGGAACCUGCCCUUAGGUUCGGAAUAACUCCCCGAAAGGGGUGCUAAUACCGGAUAAUGUCUUCGGACCAAAGAUUUAUCGCCUUUGGAUGGGCCCGCGUUGGAUUAGCUAGUUGGUGGGGUAAAAGCCUACCAAGGCGACGAUCCAUAGCUGGUCUGAGAGGAUGAUCAGCCACACUGGGACUGAGACACGGCCCAGACUCCUACGGGAGGCAGCAGUGGGGAAUAGUGGACAAUGGGCGAAAGCCUGAUCCAGCAAUGCCGCGUGAGUGAUGAAGGCCUUAGGGUUGUAAAGCUCUUUUACCCGGGAUGAUAAUGACAGUACCGGGAGAAUAAGCUCCGGCUAACUCCGUG
rnacentral:rRNA from 1 species